ACGACUCUCGGCAACGGAUAUCUCGGCUCACGCAUCGAUGAAGAACGUAGCAAAAUGCGAUACUUGGUGUGAAUUGCAGAAUCCCGUGAACCAUCGAGUUUUUGAACGCAAGUUGCGCCCGAAGCCAUUCGGCCGAGGGCACGUCUGCCUGGGCGUCA
rnacentral:rRNA from 3 species